AACAAGAUUUAGAAUAUAAAGAAUCGUUUUCAAGCAAACAUGAAAUAUAUUAGAUUUUGAAGGCAAACGUUAACACUGCUUCUACACAUUGCCAUUCACAAAGACAAUAUUAACAAUCUUGAAAUUUUUCUCUAUUUUCAGAAGAAUGGGUCGGUCGCCUCGUCAGCUCUAGAUGGAUGACCAAGAAUCGCCAAAACGGUACUGCGGCCUUGAUGCUGGCCUCUGCGGCCAAUAAGGUCUCUUCAAGUUCUCGUCGGUCCGUCCGUCUGGUUUUCGGGUCUUUUUUUUUGUUGUGCUACCUUUUUAGCACCGUAGGACCAACAUCGGCUGAUUGGAGGACGAAAAUGUCCUUUAACUGCGUUGCUACCUAACCUAACCAUGAGCUCAUGUUUGGUUAUAGCCUGUAACCCAAACAACGGCAGUCCAAGGGUCGAACGUCAGUAAAGCAGUUUGGUUUGCUAGUCUGGAGAAACUAAAAAGAGUACCUUAGGAACGCUGGGGAAUGCAACAGCGUCUGGAUCCCUCGCUGGUGGAUGAUGUGCGUUGCGGAUGUGGCGGUGACCAGUGUGGCGGUGACCAGGGUGUCGGUAGCCGAUGUGGCGGUUGUUGAUGCCGCGGUUGGUGAUGGAAGCCUUCUUCUUUGUGCGGCAGUGGAGGUGGAGGAGGCGUGGAUUUUGAUUUUUAUGUUUUUGACUUUUAGUUUUGAAAUGUCCACUUGUUUAUUUUAAUUUUAAUUUCUAUUUCUUUUCAGGUUUUUAAUAUAUUCCUUUUUUCAGGUAUUUAACGUUCAUUUCAUUUCAGAUUUUUGACAAAGUUUUUCUUCUCUUUUUUUUUACGUUACCAUUUCAAUUGGCUCUUUAUGUAUCGUCUCUUCACUUUUCAGGCAUUUCAAAUUUUCUAUUUCUUUUUUUUUUUUUAAAAAAACUGUCCUUUUUAUUUUGUUUAAAUCCGUUUUUUUCACAUUCAUAUGAAUUUAAAUAAAACACAUUUACCAAAUUUAUUUCUGGUCUUUUCUUUUACGUAUUUUUCUUGUUGAUCACUCCACCUCCGUACGCUGCCAAGUCCCAAUCGAAAAAGAAAGAAGCUUCCUUGGGUCACCGGCCGGCUUGGCUUGGAUUCGCCUCCAUCAUCAAAUUUGACUUCCAGCGGGCACCAACAAAACAUAUGGUGGUAGCCAUAAUUGUCAAUUGGUGUCAGCUGGCUGUCUCUUUCGUUGACAGAGGCGAAUCAAAACCAUCAGAUGGCGCUGGCGGUCUUCUAUCCGCUAACAGAUGUCGCUAGGGUCGCACAUUAGGCCGCACACUACAAACCAAACCAUCCUUUGAACAUCACUGUUAAAGGAUGGGAGGGAGAAAAAUAACAAUUUCUCUCAGUGUAUUCCAUGCCAUAAAGUGUAUAUGCUCCUUACGCCAAACCUAUCUCACUGUGUGUAGGUCCCAUUAAUAAUGUGUAAGUCUUCCUCAACUAGUAUACCUUGAGUUAACCAUUUUUAUACCUUACGGAUAUACCUUCAUCAAAUUAAUUGGAAGCAAUUGCAGCAGACGGACGACGCGGGAAAUAAUUUUCACCAACAAAGCAAAAAAAAAAGGAAACCCACGUCAUGGACCUGCGAACUCGCAACGGCUGCCUCGCUUGAGAGCAUGAGCCAUGCCAUUUGUGGUCUAACGCUGUGGUGUGCCCAAGAUAAACGAACUGGUAAGUAUCAAAUAGAUGGUGCACCUUGGUGUAUCCUCUAUGACUUCUCCUAGCCGCCUCUCAUCACUCACCACGGCAUCCCUCGCCCCAUGUCCAAGAUGCCAUAGCGAUAGAAAGACGGGUCGACCCGACAUACACCGAGGUCGUCAAGAGGCUCUACCGUGGUUGAGUGAUCUCCUGGGGCCGGCAUCGAGAGAUGACAAUCUCUCGUCCGGACAAAACGCCUUCCGCCGCAACUCGCGUUCCAUGUCCAAGAUGCCAUAGUGAUAGAAAGACGGGUCACCCAUUGCGAGGUUGACAGCGAGCUCUCCGGCGGUCGAGGCACCCCAGAGGUUGGCAGAGAGAAGUAGCACGAAUCAGCGCGUAAUCUUGCGCACAUCACACCACGGGACCCCUCUUGGCGGUUCAGCACUCGCGAGAGCGUAAGACCACGAGUCCACUCCAACAACCUCACCUGGACCAUACGGGUAAGUCCAUGGUAAGUAUUAACACCCUUUUACAGCGCCACCCUAAAUCAAAAAUUGCAAAUAUACACCCCAUUGCACAAUUUGUGCACUCGCCCAAGGAUGUAAGCCCAUGGCUUGGAAAUAUACGCACACUUGUAUAUUUGCCCACUACUGCCUUGAACACACACACACACCCACCAUUCGAGAUGAACCUGAGGUAUAAUAUGGGCACGAGGCAAAAAUCAUUCGGACCUCUGCAACGAUCACCACUUAAGUUAAGUAUAAAUCAUAAAAUACAAUUCAAAUCUAAAUUCUCUUCUAAUUCAUUUAGGUCAUCUUAUGCUACAGUUUACCACAAGACGACGGCUGUUCUACAGCUUGUUCCUUACUGCUAUAGAGAUCCCUGGGACUUAAUUCCUCUGCUAUCUAUCACAGGGUACAACUAAAACUAACUAAACCUACAUUAGACCAUGGCUUAAUAUUGGAAACUCCCAGCUACGGAAAUGGAAUUUCAGGUUCGUAUCCAAAAUAUGUUAUCACGGAUGGGGUUAGUGACUUACAGCUGCGGCUUCAUAAACAGUUGAUAAAAAUUGGCAAUUCCACACAUAACAGGUGUCUAUAUUGUCCAUUGCUGUUGAUUGGUAAUUGGGAUCGUGACUGCUGCCUUCGGACUGUGCUCCAUGGCGACUACAUAAAGCUUUGCAAGUCUUUACCAUGUAGGACUCACAGGAGCUAGGAUUUAAAUUUAUUCGGAAUCGGACGGACAGGCAGAAAGUCAUAAUUUGGGCUAUUGGCUUUAAAACUAUUGUGGAAGAAGGUGGAAAGUGUCUACCAUUGUCUCCCGAGGAAGUCGCAUGGCUCAUCUGGACUCACAGCCACUUCGACACCAGACUUACUUCCCAUGGAGGCUUUGGACGACACUCUGUUAAUACAAAGUAUCAGUGCCUCUUCAAGCUUAGACGUCGCACUCGACUAGCUUGUCUUAUAAUCAAACUGCUGUCGGGACUUACGCAAAACAUAGAAGAAAACCACAAACACAAAUAUUAACAGCCACACAAUUGAAACGGUCAACCCGAUUGCUCGGGCCCCACGUUGGGCGCCAUUUUUUGUCGUGUUCCCAAGGGUCCACGUUGCCGUUGGAGUGAGGAGUCGAACUGGCGGGCGCUGGUCGCUGGCAUUCGAGCACCGGCUUUUGGCUCAGUCUUUGGGGCGCGGUUCUUUGCCAAUCCAACCCUCUGGCAAGGUGACAAAAAAAACAAAAUAAACAACCAGCUGUCGGUGGUACGAAACGGACGACAAUAGAACAUUAACAAAACACCCACUGGAACGAACUGGAGGACAUUACGGCUGUGGAAUUGCCUGGCGCCUAAAAUCCUUCAUGGCGCCUCAGGACUUUGCCCACCCCAACCAUGGCACCCCUCGUCCUGUAAUAUUAAGGGUACCCCGUAAUCCAUCACCUGUCUAUCUUUGCCGCUGCUCAGUCACUUACCCCAUAUUCCGAUGCUUUAGCCUUCCAUCAUCCUUUAGAAAUCACCAA